AUCAUAUCCAGAAAUCAGGUUGAUCUCGAAUGUUGAUCAAGAAUGAAUUCUGAAGGUGAAAUUGAGGAGGAAAACCAAAAUGACUUAACGAAGCUUCUCACGGAGGAAUCUUACGAACCAUCGAAAAAACUUCAUGACAAAAUGGGUAGAUUUUUAGGUCCACAAUCGGAUGGCGAGGCACACCACGAUGAAGAAAUUGAACUUUGUGAAAUAAGUGACGGAGAAGCGACAACGCAAACUAGGAUAUCAAGACCAGUCACUGGGAUACGGAUAUUUCGAGCAAUCCCUAAACGUUUCAUAAUUUUAGUUAUGAUUGCACUGGCUAAUUUCAACAUGUAUUGCAUAAGGAUGUGUGUGAACGUGACCAUUGUAGCAAUGACGCACGGAGAAG